CAAGCCUGUGGUUCAUUCCACUCUGAUCUUCUGGUGAAAAACCUUCCUUGAACAUUUGUCAGUCCAAACCUAAUCUUUUUGUGCCAAAAGAAAAUCAAAGUACAGAUAUUUACCUUCUUGAACUCAUUAUUUUCCUAAUUAAGGGCAGUGUUACUUUAAUGAACCAAAAGUAGCUGAGGUAAAAAUGAAUACGGGAAUCUCCUGAAUUAAUUCGAAGGAAACAUAGAAGGAUUCCCAGCAGCCAAAAAGCCAUCAGAAGUCCCAGGAGCGGCUCCAAAAGCUUCUGUUCAUUAAGGCUGGCUCAUUGAACAGAACAUUUUUAUUAAGAGCGAAGGAUCCAGGAGGACCCUGCCACCGAGGCCUGUGCUUGAUGACGUUCCAGAAGCAAGAAUCCCAGCAGUCGGGGGUCUGUCCCUUCUCUGCAAGCCUAUGAACAAGCCAGCCCUGCAGCUGGAGAGACAAGCGGGCCGUGUAUGUGGGACACCUCUCCACCCUGUGGCGCCUAGCUCGUUUACCGUGCUCCGUGGAGUGUGAGAACCAGUAAUUCUUCUCGUGGGCGCUGAAGGGGGACGGGGUACUGAACCACAGUACCUGUGGCUGCAUGCGCUAGUCCCUCUGAGUGGGAAGAGGACGUGGGAGGAGGCAGCAGAGUUUCCGGUGCCGGCGACGGGCUGCGGGGCCGGCAUGGUGGCUGGGAAGAAGAGAGGCUGUUUCAGCUCCGUUGAGGCUCUCUGGAGAGAAGAGACGAUGAGAGACAGAGGCUGUGAGGAGGUGGCAAGUGAAAGCUGGCGGCGUUCGACCGACUUCCAAAUAGAAUUCAGAAUCUACGACUAAUACUCAUGGAAGUUGGACGGAUGACUAGGAAAACCACAUCUACUAUGAGAAACAGGAACAACUUGUGUUCAGUAUAUUUCAGUUAAAUUACUGUGCAAAUAUCCUAGUGGAUUUAUGAAUGGACAUUGCCAAAAGGUAACCCAUAAAUUAACCUGAGAAUCUUCAUUUAAUGUGAGGAAUCAUUUUAACCCAUAGGAUGGAAAAAUAAUAAUUUUUUCCUUCUUACUAAUGAUGAAGUUUAUGAUUGUAAAAUUUAUAUUACUAAUACCCAAUAUGUAAUAUUUUAGGAACCAUUCCAUUUGUAAUUCUUUAAGAAUCCUGUUGCUGAAUGAGAA
rnacentral:lncRNA from 1 species